CCGCCCCUUUUUGCUUCUCCUCCCACUGAGUGAUUCAAGCCUUGCGCUUCCCACUUCCGCACCCUCUGCCAGCCAUUGGACUAGCAAAGCCGAACAAGUUGCGGCCGCCGAGCAGCCGGCGCUCCCCGCCUCCUCAUCCUCUCCUCCUCCUUCUUCUCCUUGCCUCGCCGCCGACGUCGCCGCCACCCCGAGGCCUCGCGACCGCCGAGCCCGCAGCCCACGCCACGGCCGACAUGAGCUUCUUGUUUGGUAGUCGCUCCUCUAAAACGUUUAAACCAAAGAAGAACAUACCAGAGGGUUCUCACCAGUAUGAGCUCUUAAAGCAUGCAGAGGCCACACUGGGCAGUGGAAACCUCCGGAUGGCUGUCAUGCUUCCUGAGGGGGAAGAUCUAAAUGAGUGGGUUGCAGUGAACACUGUAGAUUUCUUCAAUCAGAUCAACAUGCUUUAUGGAACAAUCACAGAUUUUUGUACAGAAGAAAGUUGUCCAGUGAUGUCAGCUGGCCCAAAAUAUGAGUAUCAUUGGGCAGAUGGAACAAACAUAAAGAAGCCUAUUAAGUGCUCUGCACCAAAGUACAUUGAUUACCUGAUGACUUGGGUUCAGGACCAGUUGGAUGAUGAGACAUUAUUUCCAUCAAAAAUUGAGGGGGUUGUUUAUCUAUUUACUAGGUGUCCCGUUUCCGAAGAAUUUCAUGUCUGUGGCAAAAACUAUACUCAAACGCCUCUUUAGGGUUUAUGCUCACAUUUAUCAUCAGCAUUUUGACCCUGUGAUCCAGCUGCAGGAGGAAGCACAUCUCAAUACAUCUUUCAAGCACUUUAUUUUUUUUGUCCAGGAAUUCAACCUUAUUGACAGAAGAGAACUUGCACCACUCCAGGAACUGAUCGAAAAACUCACCUCAAAGGACAGAUAAAAGAAUGCAGAUGUGUGCAAAUUAUUCCUCAAAUGAAGCUGUGUGGAGUGCAUUUGGAUUUUGUUUUAUUUUUAUCUUGGUUGUUUUUAUGUUAGGUUUGGGGGGCUUGUUUGGGUUCCUUUUUCUUUAUUCUGAAUAAAUGAAACCAUAUACUAUGGCUAGAGGAAGGCAAGAACCAUUCUCUAUUCAGUUGAUGGGGUAAAUUUUGUCUUAGUGACAUACAGUAUUUUUUCUAACUUGGGGAAUUUUUGAUAAUACUAUAUGUUGAAAGAAAUGCUUAUUGAUUGGACUGCUGAUGGAUGGGGUUCUCCGUUGUGUAAAUUGUGGUUGAUUUUUGAAGUCCCCAAAAGUCUUAUGUUUUUAAGUGCCUUGGCAGGCUCAUUUCUGAGGUGCAAAGCACAGACAUAGAACUGAACAGGGCUUGAAACAAUAUUAGGAUUACUACCCAGGGCACUUACUGAUGCAUGUUUCAAAAUACCUAUUGAUAAAAGCCAUAGUUUACCUAAAUUGGUGAUCUCCAGCUUUUACUACAUUAAAGAAACACAGUUUGUAAAGGUGUGCAUGUAGAGCAUAAAAAAUUAGUAUUUCUUAAUUAUUUUUGAUAUUGAUAGUAAUUCUGUUCAACAGAUGCUUAAAGUUCUACAAGCAGGUCUUUUCCAUCUCUUGAUAUCUGUGAUAUUGAAACUUGAAGAUGUUGAAAUGUAAUACCGGUUACAUUUUGGCUUCUUUCUACAUGUUAACUGCACUGUAGGUGUAAAAAUUCAGGUUAUAUAUAGGUUUGCCAUCUUCAGAGAUGAUGCUGAACUGUGAGGUUUCUUAGCAAUUGCCAAAUGAGCCAUAAAUCUGCAGAAUCCCCUUCUGCUUUGAAGAGGAGGUGAUAGGAGUGUGUGUUUGUUUGCGGGGGGUUAGUUUGAAUGGUGCGUUAUAGAUGGGAUUAAGUACAGGGAGUCAAGUUCAAGAAAGUCCUUUCUCAAAACUCUUGAAUAGAAUGGCAUGAAUAUUUUAAUCAAUAUCUUGUAAGCAAAGUCUUAGAGACUUCCUUUUAGGAAUCAACUUCCAUGAGAAGUUAAAAAUAAAUUACUAAUUUUAGAUAUAGACAUAAACAUGGAAUUUAAGGACUUUGGGGAAAUUGAUCACUUUACAGCAUUUCCAUUCAGUGAAUGGAGCUGGUGUUUGUCAUUUUAAAAUGAUACAGUACCUUCUUUACUUGUUAUAGGCCCAACUUGAAACAUUCUGACUUCUGAUUUUUCCACUGUGAAAGGAAAUCUUUCUUUGCAGUGAUAUCAGAUAAUGAAAGUGCUAAAGUAGUAAAUAACUUUUACAUUUUUUUUUUUUUUGCUAUAACUUUCUGGUGAGCUAUUCCCAUAAGUAAAAAGUUCAGAAACUUAGUUUUUUUUUUGUUUUUUUUUUGCGGUACGCGGGCCUCUCACUGUUGCGGCCUCUCCCGUUGCGGAGCACAGGUUCUGGACGCGCAGGCUCAGCGACCAUGGCUCACGGGCCCAGCUGCUCCGCGGCACGUGGGAUCUUCCCGGACCAGGGCAUGAACCCAUGUCCCCUGCAUUGGCAGGCGGACUCUCAACCACUGCGCCACCAGGGAAGCCCCCAGAAACUUAGUUUUUAAAAUAAAUGUUAACAGUUUUCACUUCAGUUUUACUCUUGUGAAAUAUCCUUUUUCGACUUCCAGUUUUAAUUUUGUCAUUUCUGGUAAAUCUGUUUCCUUCAGUUAGAACUAUAUAUUUUUCCUUUGUUAGGAAUGUAUACCUUUUUCCUUGUAGAAUAGAAGUCUUACUCUGAAAUUGUAUAGACUAAAAACAGUACAAAAGAAUCUAAAAUGAAAUCAGUUUGUUUUUGCCAUUAACAAGUAGAAUAGUGAUACAAUUUACUGCCAUUACAAUUAUGAUCAGUAGGAACUGCCUUUUUCUCAUUUCUAGCAAUCAUUCUCCAAGUACCAACAGUAGAAGGUAACAGGAGAGCCUGGCAGAAGCAAGUAUAUUGGACAUUCAUUGGUCAUACUUACUUAUAAACUGCAAUGAGAACUCGCUGAUUUCCUUAAAACAAAUCUUUUAGUAUCCAAAUAUAUAAUAUCAGCCACUGUGGGUUGAUUCAGAAACAAAAUCUGGCCUCUAGUGAUUUGGGGUACCAUCUAUUUAGGAAGAUGAAGCAUAUGAUUAUUCAAAUAGUCUUCCAAUACUGCAUUUGACUUCAUAUCAACCUAGUAAUAAAGGGGUUGCAAUAGCCAAGUGUGGAGAGACAAGUGAAACAUUGUUUUUGCUCAUUUAAGCCUUAUACAGUAGUACACUGUACAAAUGUUAUUAUAAAUUAAUGUUUAGUAGUCGGACUUACUUUUCCACUCUAUGUAGAUAGGAGUUUCUUAUCACUGUGCCAGAAUCUCAGGUGCCUGCUUAUGAGUAUUCCUUUAAACAGAGGUAUUGGGAAGUAAGGAAAUAUGUAUGUGUAUAUAUAUGGUAACAAAGUAGAGACAUUCUCCCAGGGAGAGGCCUGGCAUUGUGCAUGGUGUUACAUGGCUGCAAAUAGGGAAACACCAGAGCAUGUGAGAAAUAACUGACUUAAUAAAAAGCUGCUUUGAUUCGUUUGGUUCCCAGGAGCAUUAGUAAGAUGCCUUUUAUAAAAUAAGGAUCAAACCUUGGUUUUACAACAUAGUUUGCUUAUAAAUGUCUAUUGGAUUCUUUCCAGAUUUCUUAAUUUGUAAAUAACCAGGAUAAUGAUUUCCCCCCCUGCUCUUCAUACAGAGAUAUAAAGCAGAAGUUGGUUUUCUCAUCUGCUGAUGAAAGCAUAAAAUAUAAAGUAGUAAGUUAACAUAGUAUUGUCACAAAGCUUUGGUUAAAUGUUGAUAGGAAGCAAGUUUUAGUAAUUCUUUUAAAUGACGGUGUAAUGGUGGUGGAGAGAAAUUGAUAACAGAGUGAAAAUCUUUCCAUUAGCUGUAGGUGGUGCUACUGGCUUUCAUUUACUGGCUUGAUUAUUCUGUUUUCCAUAAAAACCAUGGCACUAGGCUGCACUAAAACAUUAAGUAUGUGUUAGCUGGUAGAGGCUUUGGAGGUCAGUUUACCUUAAAUUGAAAGAUUUUAGAUUGCUAUCUCUUCCUACCUUUGUCAUUUUUAAAUGCUAAAUGUUCAGCAUAAAAUUAAGUAGGAAAAGAUAUGUUUAGUGUAUAAUAUGUCGCAGACUGAGGUACUGCCUGGCUUAUCAGGAAAGAUAAAGCACUACAAUCUCUUAUAUUCAAGAAUUACCGAUAAUGUGGAUAUUUAUAUUUUACAUGUAAGCACCACACUGCAUUUUAUGUAUUAGCAUUUUCCUUGCUUAGGGGAAAAUAGCAAAAUGACAGAUUUCUUUUAUACCUUUGUGUACACCCUCUCUGAGAGAGUUUUUGAUAACCACUGAAAUGGUAAAAUAUGUGAGAUAAAAUUAUUAAGUUGUAGGACUUCCUUUUAAGAUAAAUAUGUCAUACCUUGAACAUCUCAAAUGAGAGUUGAUCUUCAGAGUAGUUUCUUUGGGAGCACUACUUAUUCCAGCUAUGCUGCAAAGGUGUAAUGUUUCUAGAACACUUUCAGCGAUGCCUUGAGAAUUGGUUUGUGACUAUGCAAGAAAAUCUGUUUUAUCAUUUCAGUUGCACUGAAAACUUUUCUGGAAGCUUAAUAUGACCUAUCUCAUUCACCAAAACAACUCUACUUUGGCUGUUUUCUUAGAACUAAACUAUUAAGGAAGUUCAAAAGAAUAUGCCAUAGGCUCUGAAUUUGCAGAACAGAAUGUUUUGAGCACUGAUUUGUAGCAUCAUUUAAUAAAAAAAUAGUUUCCUGAUGUCACUGCUUUGAAGUAGGCAGUAUUGUUUGGAUGUACAAGUUUUAUUUUUUUAAUUUAGUUUAAUUACCUUACAGUUAAAUAUAAUAGUUUAAAAAACCAAAGUCCUUUUCUUAUUUUCUAUUUUUGGUCCAUUUUCCUGAUAACUUUUGGAUUAUAUCUUGAGUACUGUAGGGUAGUUUUGAUUGAAGGUAUAUUAAAAAUAAAAAUGGAUCCAAUAUUUAAGAUAGAAGUAGCUUAAGGAAGCAGCAGGCUUUACCUCCAUGCUUUUUUUUUUAAACUUAUUUUCACGCAAAUGAACAAUUUGAAUUUAAAGACUGGAGAUCAUUGUAAAAAGAAAUUGGAAUACAGUUUAUAUAUUAAUUAUGCUGAAUUUAAGUCUGUGUGUCACAGUAAAAUAUUUCAAAUUGUAUAAUCAUUUCAUAUGUGAUUUAUAACUUUAACAUUUUGAAUGUCUUUUUAAAAGAUAUGAGACAAGAAGUAUAUUUGAAAAUGUCACUGCAUACCAAGAGGAAAACUUAAUUUAUUUUGAAACUUAUCUGGGAUAUUAAAGAAUAUACCAAUUCCUAGAAACACUAUUCUAGAUCUAUACGGACCGCUCCUAAAAUGAUUUAAAUAUCAGCAUUUUGUCAUAAUAUUAAGUUUCACCAUAGGAAUUACAGUUGUUGAGCUGUCAGUUUAAUGGUAUAUGAGAUAACUGUUUAGAGCUAAAGCUAUUUCAUGAUUUAAUGGAAAAGUUUAAUUUUAAGAUAUAAUAACAAUUCUGACUGCAGACAAUUUGAAUUUUUGAGGCUCUCCUAAUGGGCUAAUUAUAGAGAAAAAUUCAUUUUGAAGGUAUAAAACUGUGCUCCAUGUCUGCCACUUGUAGCUGAACUGAUACUUAAAUUUUGACAAAAGAGAGAAAAUACAGAUUAAAAUACUGAGUACUCUCAGUUUUGCAAGUGUGAUACAAAUUUCCUUUUUUGCAUAUAAUACUACACAAUAGAAAAAUUUGGAUUAGAAUCCUCAAAGAUAGUGAAAUCACUGGCCUUUCCAAACUUAUGUUUACUUGUCAUCUCCUUCUCCUUGGAGGUAAAUUACUUCCUUACUGGUGUUGACUUUCCAUAUACUCCUCUCUCCCCUAUCUCACAACACACACACACACACACACACACACACACACAGAUGAAAAACAAAACAGAUUGAUUAUAUAGGUCCUCACUGUUAGUGAUUCUGAAGUGAUUGCUGUCAAUACAUAGGUUGCACCUGAAGUGUUGGAUGAUACAAUUUACAUAAGCAUUUUUGGUUGGUUUUGGUUGAUAGCUUUCUUUAAACUACAUCACUGAAGCUGAGAUUACUAGAGAUAUAAAUUUAAAUCUUUUAUUAAUAUUUAAUUUCUGUUAUAUAUUAUUAAAUUCUUAUAUGUGUGGGUGUUUCUUACAGGUUUGCAGGUUUUCAUUUUGUUUACUUAAUUGUGCAAGUUGUAAAAUAGAUUCUUGCAUUUUCAUUUUAAGAACACUUUUCUCCUUAAAUUGUUCUGCAGAGAUAACUGUUUUUAGGGGAAAUAGUUUUUUACAGCCACUAAAUUGUAUUUGUUAUUUUUGUACAUGCAUACUAGGGUGGUAAGGACACUAAUCUUGUGGGGAAAACUUAAAUUUGUUUUAUUUGAACUUUCCCUAUACAUUAUUACUAAAAAUUAUCUAGGAAUAGCAUCACGAGAUCUAGGUUGAGAGAGAAUACAAUAAACAUGAGAAUACUUAGUUUUAAUAGAAUCAUUUCUGAGGACAAAACCAGAAUACUGCCAGUGCCAUAAAUGGAAGCAUGAGGCAGCAUUCACACUGCGCAACUGUUGCAGAGAAUGAGUAAGACAGGAUCCUGCUCUAAUGGAGAUGGACAAUUUCUCUGUAUUAAAGUAGCUGAAUCUAAAACAUGAAAUACAACAUGGGGGCUAUAUUGUAAACUGUGCCAAGAUUACUCAAAUUGUAGUUACUUUUGAUCAGACUUCAACUGUUUUCUCGUUUUUGUUUUAAAAGGAGAUACUGAGGGAAUUCCCUGGCAGUUCAGUGGUUAAGACUUGGCGCUUUCACUGCUGGAGGCCCAAGUUCUAUCCCUGGUCAGGGAACUAAGAUCCCACAAACCAUGUAGUGUGGUAAGAACUAAAAAAUAAAAGGGGAUACUGAAUGUCGGAAAAUCUGUAAUAUGUUUUAAUUGAGAGAUGUAAAUAAUGUAUACAGACUUGUAUGUCAUGGGAUUGGAAAUAUUUAAAUUCUAGGGUUUUUUUUCUUUAAAGGAAGAAACUGAAUGUCUAUUUAAAAAAAUAAUAAAUAGUUAUGUUUGGCCAUGAAUCCUGA